rnacentral:rRNA from 1 species
GACGAACGCUGGCGGCGUGCUUAACACAUGCAAGUCGAACGAAGUGGCGAACGGGUGAGUAACGCGUAAUCAACCUGCCCUUCAGAGGGGGACAACAGUUGGAAACGACUGCUAAUACCGCAUACUGAAGGAGGGGAUUGCGUCUGAUUAGCUAGUUGGAGGGGUAACGGCCCACCAAGGCGAUGAUCAGUAGCCGGGCUGGGAGGAUGAACGGCCACAAUGGGACUGAGACACGGGUCCGAAUCCCACGGGAGGCAGCAGUGGGGAAACUUCGGAAAUGGACGAAAGUCUGAAGGAGCAAAGCCGGGUGAGAGAUGACGGCCUUCGGGUUGUAAAGCUCUGUUAAUCGGGACGCGGUACCGGAAUAGAAAGCCACGGCUAACUACGUGCCAGCCGCCGCGGUAAUAC